rnacentral:tRNA from 1 species
AGGCCGCUAGCUCAACUGGCAGAUCAGCUGACUCUUGAUCAGCGGAUUCGGGGUCCGAGUCCCUGGCGGCUCACCA